rnacentral:rRNA from 1 species
GAUGAACGCUGGCGGCGUGCCUAAUACAUGCAAGUCGAGCGAACGGACGAGAAGCUUGCUUCUCUGAUGUUAGCGGCGGACGGGUGAGUAACACGUGGAUAACCUACCUAUAAGACUGGGAUAACUUCGGGAAACCGGAGCUAAUACCGGAUAAUAUUUUGAACCGCAUGGUUCAAAAGUGAAAGACGGUCUUGCUGUCACUUAUAGAUGGAUCCGCGCUGCAUUAGCUAGUUGGUAAGGUAACGGCUUACCAAGGCAACGAUGCAUAGCCGACCUGAGAGGGUGAUCUGCCACACUGGAACUGAGACACGGUCCAGACUCCUACGGGAGGCAGCAGUAGGGAAUCUUCCGCAAGGGGCGAAAGCCUGACGGAGCAACGCCGCGUGAGUGAUGAAGGUCUUCGGAUCUUAAAACUCUGUUAUUAGGGAAGAACAUAUGUGUAAGUAACUGUGCACAUCUUGACGGUACCUAAUCAGAAAGCCACGGCUAACUACGUG